rnacentral:rRNA from 1 species
AUUGAACGCUGGCGGCAUGCUUUACACAUGCAAGUCGAACGGUAACAGGCCUUCGGGUGCUGACGAGUGGCGAACGGGUGAGUAAUGCAUCGGAACGUACCCAGAGGUGGGGGAUAACGCAGCGAAAGCUGUGCUAAUACCGCAUGUGAUCUGAGGAUGAAAGCGGGGGACCGAGCAGCAAUGUUUGGCCUCGCGCCUUUUGAGCGGCCGAUGUCGGAUUAGCUAGUUGGUGGGGUAAAGGCCUACCAAGGCGACGAUCCGUAGCUGGUCUGAGAGGACGACCAGCCACACAGGGACUGAGACACGGCCCAGACUCCUACGGGAGGCAACAGUGGGGAAUUUUGGACAAUGGGCGCAAGCCUGAUCCAGCAAUGCCGCGUGCGGGAAGAAGGCCUUCGGGUUGUAAACCGCUUUUGGCAGGAACGAAACGGUGUCCGCUAAUACCGGGCGCUAAUGACGGUACCUGCAGAAUAAGCACCGGCUAACUACGUG